UACGGGGGGAGCAAGCGUUGUUCGGAUUUACUGGGCGUAAAGGGCGCGUAGGCGGCCACCGCAAGUCGACUGUGAAAUCUCCGGGCUUAACCCGGAAAGGUCAGCCGAUACUGCGGGGCUAGAGUGCAGAAGGGGCAACUGGAAUUCUCGGUGUAGCGGUGAAAUGCGUAGAUAUCGAGAGGAACGCCUGCGGCGAAGGCGGGUUGCUGGGCUGACACUGACGCUGAUGCGCGAAAGCUAGGGGAGCGAACGGG
rnacentral:rRNA from 1 species